CUAAUGUCCACUCAACAGGCUGUGAGGUUUUAUCAGCAGCACAGCAGUCAAGACCACUUGCAGGCAGAAAUCUUUUUUCUCCUUUAAUAUUCGUAUUGCGUAUACAUUCGGAUUGCACACAAGUUUAACUAUUAGGCUUGCACAGUUUUCUUAGACUUUUUUUUUUAAAGUUCACAAUCUAUUGAACCUAAGCAUGGCUGCAAACUGAAACUACAUAUAGCAAAAACAAAAAUAAAAAAUAAAUCAUCAGAAUCCUUCAUACAAAGCUGUUUACUAUUUGUGAAGUGUUGAUGAUCCCUGCACGUUUAAAGACACACGUGGCUUUGGAUUACGGAAUCAAUGCUCAUCAGCUACAUGUGACUGAUUUCAUCAUGAACUCUGACAAAAGCUGAGUUUCUCUGAAAACUGGCAACAUUCUCUUGAUUCCUGUUUCUUGGCUGGACUCAGUGUCCCUGGUGGUGAGCACACAACUUAUUUAAAAUGGCACAGAACUGCUCUAAUUCGGAGAUUCAAAGGUGUGAAGAUCUUCAAGCAUCUCAAGCCUCACACUUUCUUGUCAACGUGCUGUACAACAAGUGGACAGUAAGCACCUGGCUCUGUUUUUACUGCCUCAAGCAACAAAUUACGCUAAUGUUCACAUUUCUCUACUUCUAAAGAGAUUGAAUGAAUGCAAACCUCAAAAAGAGAUGGGGAAGGAUCACCUCCUCAGUGCCUGCUACCAGCUUCAAACCAUGGGGUCAGCACAGAGAGAAACUACUUCCUACAACUACUGCAAGCACAGAAGAACUCUGAUUUAGUAGAGGUUGGCAACCCCGCCUUUGGCAGAGAAGUGAUGGAGUCUCCAUCCCGGAAGGAUGUUUUUUCCCCUUUAUCCCAUAGUGAGUCUCAUACCCCAUCAAGACAGCAUUACCUUCAGCCUGAAAUCAGCUACAGUGAGCCUUUUCUUCAAAUCAUCAUGAUGGACAACGUCCCCAAGCCAUGAGGCUGACCAUCAACUUGGGACAGCUGCAAGAGGAAGUUCAGGGUGCUCAUCUUCCAAGGUUAUUGAGGUUGUCUGACCUACCUUUGUUCCUUUGCACUCCUUUAUGUAUAGAAGGUGGCCUUUAGUCAAAUGACUUAAGAGUAAUUACUUAAAGAAAAUUUGUGAGAGAAAUCUGAUUAACAAGACCUUUGAACUUUGUAGUUUUUGGAUUUUCAUUAGUGGAUUCAGCAACCACAAAGUUACUUCACAUGGAAGUCAAAUAAUGCAUCAGUAAAGCUAUCCAUACCACAGAUUGACUUCAAGCUGAUUCAGAGCAUAACAAAAUAAAGUGAGUUUCUAUGACACUGCAUAUCCUGAACCAUGAAAGUAAUCACAUUGCAAAGUAUUUGUAAUCAUUUCUGGACACUUAAAUUUUGUAGAAAGCAAAUUACUUACAAAUGUCAAAAAAAUUUGAAAUGUCUUCAAUGCGUGUUUUUUUGUUGAUUGCAAAAGACAUUUUCCAUCUGGUCACAAGCAUGAAGAUAUCCUGAAGCGACCUGCAUACACCAG
ensembl:lncRNA